AGACCCCGACGCUACUCUCCGCUUGUAUUUCCUUCGGGCACUCAAAGAUGCUGAGUGAGAUUAACUCUGUACUCCCAUUUGAGAAGGGAAAGCUCCUGUAUGUGGCUCAAACUCCAAAAGUAAAUGACCGGUUCAUUGAAAUUCCUGUACAGACGGAAUACCUGGCUGACAAUGGGAAGAAGAUCCCCAUUCCACCCCUCCCGGAGGACUUUGUGAUAUUGCCAGAAAUG